GACGUAGGGCGCGAGCGUUGUCCGGAAUUAUUGGGCGUAAAGAGCUCGUAGGCGGUUUGUUGCGUCGGCUGUGAAAUCCCGAGGCUCAACCUCGGGUCUGCAGUCGAUACGAGCAAACUAGAGUGUUGCAGGGGAGACUGGAAUUCCUGGUGUAGCGGUGAAAUGCGCAGAUAUCAGGAGGAACACCGGUGGCGAAGGCGGUUCUCUGGGGAAUAUCCUGACGCUGAGGAGCGAAAAGUGUGGGGGAGCGAACAGG
rnacentral:rRNA from 1 species